UGCCCAGACUCCUACGGGAGGCUGCAGUCGAGAAUCAUUCGCAAUGGGCGAAAGCCUGACGAUGCGACGCUGUGGGUGCGAUGAAGGCCUUCGGGUCUGUAAAGCACUUUCGCUAGGGAACAA
rnacentral:rRNA from 1 species